rnacentral:rRNA from 1 species
GAUGAACGCUGGCGGCGUGCCUAAUACAUGCAAGUCGAGCGAACGGACGAGAAGCUUGCUUCUCUGAUGUUAGCGGCGGACGGGUGAGUAACACGUGGAUAACCUACCUAUAAGACUGGGAUAACUUCGGGAAACCGGAGCUAAUACCGGAUAAUAUUUUGAACCGCAUGGUUCAAUAGUGAAAGACGGUCUUGCUGUCACUUAUCGAUGGAUCCGCGCUGCAUUAGCUAGUUGGUAAGGUAACGGCUUACCAAGGCAACGAUGCAUAGCCGACCUGAGAGGGUGAUCGGCCACACGGGAACUGAGACGCGGUCCAGACUCCUACGGGAGGCAGCAGUAGGGAAUCUUCCGCAAUGGGCGAAAGCCUGACGGAGCAACGCCGCGUGAGUGAUGAAGGUCUUCGGAUCGUAAAACUCUGUUAUUAGUGAAGAACAUAUGUGUAAGUAACUGAGCACAUCUUGACGGUACCUAAUCAGAAAGCCACGGCUAACUACGUG